ensembl:snRNA U6 U6 spliceosomal RNA
CUGCUCACUUCGGCAGCACCUAUGCUAAAAUUGGAAUGGUGCAGAGAUGAGCGUGGCCCUGUGCAAGGGGGACACACAAAUUCCUGAAGUGUUCCACAUUUUU